rnacentral:piRNA from 1 species
UGAGAUCUGAAGAAUCCUGUUCCUGCCC